rnacentral:lncRNA from 1 species
GGGAUAGAGGUAGAGGUUGUACCUUCCCAAAAUCAAACAUUAAGACUGUGUCGAGAGUGCUUCGGGUCAAGCUAACAGCCUAGUUGCGACUCCCGUACACAGUCUUAAUGUUUGAUUUUGGGAAGGUUCAACCUCUGCCUCUAUCCCUCAACAUAUGGGUGACCUAUUUGCUUGUAAAAAUAUAAAGCCUUAUCAUUAAUUAAUAAAAAAAGGGGGAUCUGUAGGGAGCCGUCCCUGCAUUCUCCAUUACAAGAUGGCGCCUGCAUCCGGCAGGCACCGAAUGUAAACAAGAUUAUUGCGCAGGCGCUGGGUAAAUUUCCAUUCCUUGAUCUCUGCCUAUUCCGUGGCGUCAUAUGGCCGGAUGAGCUACAGCCAAUCAUAGGGUGACACGUCCCAGGCGGCGGCUGCCAGCCUUUAUUAGGGGACGGGAUUCUUGGCUCAGUGUCUCCGCUCUGGUAAGCUUAUGC